rnacentral:rRNA from 1 species
UACAGAGGUCUCAAGCGUUGUUCGGAUUCAUUGGGCGUAAAGGGUGCGUAGGCGGCGCGGUAAGUCGGGUGUGAAAUCUCGGGGCUUAACUCCGAAACUGCAUUCGAUACUGCCGUGCUUGAGGACUGGAGAGGAGACUGGAAUUUACGGUGUAGCGGUGAAAUGCGUAGAUAUCGUAAGGAAGACCAGUGGCGAAGGCGGGUCUCUGGACAGUUCCUGACGCUGAGGCACGAAGGUCAGGGAGCAAACAGG